UGGGGAAUAUUGCACAAUGGAGGGAACUCUGAUGCAGCGACGCCGCGUGAACGAAGAAGGCUUUCGAGUCGUAAAGUUCUUUUAUAUGGGAAGAUAAUGACGGUACCAUAAGAAAAAGCCCCGGCUAACUACGUGCAAGCAGCCGCGGUAAUACGUAGGGGGCUAGCGUUGUCCGGAAUCACUGGGCGUAAAGGGUUCGCAGGCGGAAAUGCAAGUCAGGUGUAAAAGGCAGUAGCUUAACUACUGUAAGCAUUUGAAACUGCAUAUCUUGAGAAGAGUAGAGGUAAGUGGAAUUUUUAGUGUAGCGGUGAAAUGCGUAGAUAUUAAAAAGGAUACCGAUGGCGAAGGCGACUUACUGGGCUCAUUCUGGCGCUGAGGAACGAAAGCGUGGGUAGCAAACAGG
rnacentral:rRNA from 1 species